UCAGCAUCAAGUAGGUUGCCGUGACAUGA
rnacentral:piRNA from 1 species